rnacentral:rRNA from 1 species
CCUACGGGAGGCAGCAGUGGGGAAUAUUGGUCAAUGGGGGAAACCCUGAUCCAGCGACGCCGCGUGAGUGAUGAAGUAUUUCGGUAUGUAAAGCUCUUUCAGUAGGGAAGAAAGAAAUGAUGUUACCUGACUAAGAAGCGUCGGCUAACUCCGUGCCAGCAGCCGCGGUAAUACGGAGGGGGCAAGCGUUCUCCGGAUUUACUGGGUGUAAAGGGAGCGUAGGCGGCGAGGCAAGUCUGAAGUGAAAGGCGGUGGCUCAACCACAGAACUGCUUUGGAAACUGUAUGGCUGGAGUACAGGAGAGGUAAGUGGAAUUCUUGGUGUAGCGGUGAAAUGCGUAGAUAUUAAGAGGAACACCAAUGGCGAAGGCGGCUUACUGGACUGUAACUGACGUUGAGGCUCGAAAGCGUGGGGAGCAAACAGGAUUAGAUACCCGAGUAGUC